AAGACCUUGCGCUUUUGGAGCGGCCGAUGCCUGAUUAGCUUGUUGGUAAGGUAAAAGCUUACCAAGGCUUCGAUCAGUAGCUGGUCUGAGAGGACGGCCAGCCACACUGGGACUGAGACACGGCCCAGACUCCUACGGGAGGCAGCAGUGGGGAAUUUUGGACAAUGGGGGCAACCCUGAUCCAGCCAUGCCGCGUGAGUGAAGAAGGCCUUCGGGUUGUAAAGCUCUUUCAGCCGGAACGAAACGGUUACGGUUAAUACCCGUGAUUACUGACGGUACCGGAAGAAGAAGCACCGGCUAACUACGUGCCAGCAGCCGCGGUAAUACGUAGGGUGCGAGCGUUAAUCGGAAUUAUUGGGCGUAAAGCGUGCGCAGGUGGUUUUGUAAGUCAGAUGUGAAAGCCCCGGGCUCAACCUGGGAACU
rnacentral:rRNA from 1 species